rnacentral:rRNA from 1 species
UACGUAGGGUGCAAGCGUUGUCCGGAAUUAUUGGGCGUAAAGAGCGCGCAGGCGGUCGUUCAAGUCGCGUGUGAAAGCCCCCCGGCUCAACUGGGGAGGGUCACGCGAUACUGAUCGACUCGAAGGCAGGAGAGGGUAGUGGAAUUCCCGGUGUAGUGGUGAAAUGCGCAGAUAUCAGGAGGAACACCGGUGGCGAAGGCGGGUCUCUGGGCCGAUACUGACGCUGAGGAGCGAAAGCGUGGGGAGCGAACAGG